rnacentral:lncRNA from 1 species
UGAGGAUUGAAGACGAAAAGGCCCAUGCUAGCAGGAGGCACAAGAAGAGAUUAUAUAUGCAAAUAAUUCUGUAGCUCUUGUACCAGGAGAGGGUUUGUCUUGUAAUAUUUCUUUGAAGACACACAUAGAAAUCUUUGAUUGGUCUACAAAAAGCAAAAUUGUGAGGCUAAAAAGAAGAGGGAGAAAGAGAAAGAAUAUUUGAAAAGAGUAUGCAAAGCUAUGAUAAAAAGUCGGAAGAUGGAUGACAACUGCAGCAUCUUUUUUUUUUUUUUUGAGAGCUAAGAAUAGUGGGGAUGAGGGGGUGGGUAAGGCAUGCAAAGCAAUUUGGAGAAGCAAGGGAAAGAAGCAGACACCGAGGGAGAAUUUUAAAGACUUCAAAGAGCCCGAGUGGACUACCACAUCCCUGUAGCUGGCAGUCCUAUAGCUGGCGGUCCUACUUGUCCAGUAAGCUUCCAAACAUUGGCUCCUCUCUGAAAAGGUCACCCUGCUUUUCAGACAGAAUUUGUGACUCUCGGCAGCUGGGAAUACUUUGGAACUGAAGAGAACCUAUUAGGAGAGAGAAAAAACAGAGUCAUGAUUAAGCAAAAAAAAAAUGGAGAAAAGAUUCACCUCUAAAUUUUAUUUAAUGACAACAAAAACACACAACAUUUCUCUUUGAUUCAUAACGUUAAUAAAUUCUACUUAUCGUUUGCAAUAAUUCCAAGGUGUUCUAAAGACAUCUUUAUAUUAGAAAAGAGUUCCAUAUUAGUUUGAAUUACUUCAGGAAAGAAAUGCCCUAUUCCACCACUACAAGUUAUGGGGAAAUCUAUAGCAGAACAUUUUGUACUCUCACUAAUGAAGAAAGAACCCAGUAAGGAUUGCUGUAUUUUGGAGAUUAGGGAAUUGUGUUCACACUCACAAUAAAAUGUUAAGCUACUACGUCAGAGAAGGCUUGGUUCAUUUAUUUUGACACCAGUAUUUGAAAUAAUUUAG